rnacentral:rRNA from 1 species
GGACUACAAGGGUUUCUAAUCCUUUUUAUUACCAAAGCCUUCGUCCCUCAACGUCAGUUUUUACAUAAAAGGUUGCCUACGCCACUGCCAGUCCUAAAGGUAUUAAAAAAUUUCAUCUCUCCACCAAUAAUUCUCUUCCUUCUCAUAUAAAACUCUAGCAAAUCUGUUCCCUUUUAAAGGCAAGAUUUACCGUCUAGGUACCCUUUAAACCUAUUAAAGAUGAAUAACACUUGUCUUCCACGUCUUACCGCGGCGGCUGGCAC